rnacentral:rRNA from 1 species
AUUGAACGCUGGCGGCAGGCCUAACACAUGCAAGUCGAACGAGUGGCGGACGGGUGAGUAAUGUCUGGGAAACUGCCUGAUGGAGGGGGAUAACUACUGGAAACGGUAGCUAAUACCGCAUACUAUCAGAUGUGCCCAGAUGGGAUUAGCUAGUUGGUGGGGUAAAGGCUCACCAAGGCGACGAUCCCGAGCUGGUCUGAGAGGAUGACCAGCCACACUGGGACUGAGACACGGCCCAGACUCCUACGGGAGGCAGCAGUGGGGAAUAUUGCACAAUGGGCGCAAGCCUGAUGCAGCCAUGCCGCGUGUAUGAAGAAGGCCUUCGGGUUGUAAAGUACUUUCAGCAGGGAGGCGUUACCCGCAGAAGAAGCACCGGCUAACUCCGGGCCAGCAGCCGCGGUAAUUC